GGUACCGUCAGGCCUAACGUGUAUUAUACGUUAGGAGGUUCUUCCCCUCUGACAGAGCUUUACGACCCAAGAGCCUUCAUCACUCACGCGGUAUUGCUGCGUCAGGCUUUCGCCCAUUGCGCAAAAUUCCCCA
rnacentral:rRNA from 1 species